rnacentral:rRNA from 1 species
AUGUCAGCGGUUCGAGUCCUCUUAUCUCCAGCCCGUGAACUUAGCGGAUACUAUGAUAGCGAUAGCACCAAAUUUUGCCAAUUCGUCAGUUCGAUCUAUGAUUUCACAUUCAUGGACGUUGAUAAGAUCCUUCCAUUUAGUGGCACCUUAGGAUGGCAUAGCCUUAACGUUAAUGGCGAGGUUCAAAAGAGGAAAGGCUUGAGGUGGAUACCUAGGCACCCAAAGACGAGGAAGGGUGUAGCAAGCGACGAAAUACUUCGGGGUGUUGAAAAUAAGCAUAGAUCUGGAGAUUCCCAAAUAGGUCAACCUUUUAAACUGCCUGCUGAAUCCAUGAGCAGGCAAGAGACAACCUGGCGAACUGAAACAUCUUAG